CAUCGGACGGCUGCGUUUGCACUCGCGCAUUUUCCGCCUUGCCCGUCAACGUAAUGAGCUCGGACGGACCGCGUGCUGCCUGCUGCGUGCGUCUCGUAAGUUUCCACCUACCACGUUCUCCGCCACGACUCCCCAGCUCUCAAAUUCCUCAAACCAUGGCCGCCGCGGCCUCACGGCACCUCUGCUGCGCCACGGCGCUGCUGUCUCCCUCCGCCGCCGCGGCGCCCAUCCGCCAGAGGGUCGGCUACGGCUCCGGCUCCUCCUCCAACCGCCGGUGGGCCCACGGGCCGGACGCCGCGUCCUGGAUCCGGCGCCCGACGACUCGCUCCAGGACAGCGAGGGUGAGCUGCGCCUACUCUACCGGUGCUGAAGCAAUCACUGCAUGUUCCUGGAACCAAAAUGUCAUCUGCAGUGAUGUACCUGUGCUUGUGGAGUUUUGGGCCUCAUGGUGUGGACCUUGUAAAAUGGUCCAUCGAAUUGUCGACGAGAUUGCAGGCGAGUACGCUGGAAGGAUAAAAUGCUAUAAGCUUGACACUGAUGAUUACCUACAAACUGCAAACUCCUACAAUAUCGAGAGGGUUCCGACUGUUUUACUAUUCAAGGAUGGAGAGAAAAUACAUAGUAUUACUGGAACUCUGCCAAAAGCCGUUUAUGUGAGGGCCAUUGAGAAUUCUUUCUUGGAACAGUGACCAUUUUGGUUACAACGUUAUAUUGUUACUUGGUCCAGAUUCAUAUUCCCAUAUACUUGAUUUUUCACUGCCAGCUAGUGGAAAGAGUAGGGAAGGUUUCUCUCUGUUAUGUCAGUGCAAUUGUUGUUUCUGUGGGGCUGCUAAUACUGAGCUAAUUGUCCCAGGUAACUCUUCAAGGCAUGUUUUAUUAAACCUUGUGCUCCUAUUAUUUAUUGUCUCUAAUCUGCAAUAUAUAUCUAGACUCAACAAGCUAAACCUUGGUUAUCAUGCAGAACUUCUUUUUAUUACCCUUUAGCUUGCCUAGGAUGUAAUCUUUAGCUCUCCUUGGGCUGACAAAGAAGACCCACACACUAAGGUAAAAGCUGAGAAAGAAAAAUAGUUUAGAUUAGGUGCAGGAAUAUUGGUAAGUACUUUGGCAGGCGGUAUCAACAGACUGGUGCCAUGGAUUUUUAAUCUUUCCAUGCUGAAGAGUAGUGCAUAGCAAGUGGCUCCGAGUGGCCUGAGUGGAACCAAUGGUAGGAUACAAUAGACUUAGGUUCCUUAGAGAUUGAAUUGCUUAUUAUUGAUAAUAUCCAACUGAAUUAAUUCUAUUAUCUCAUUUUUCGUGGAAAGUUACAGCUGCUCCUACAGUGGUACUGUUGGUUAGUGGCUACAUACAUUUACCGUGCCUUUGAGUUUGAGCUAUGUAGAGUAGCUUUGUGAGGAGGUAUAGCACAAUAAUAUGAUCGGAAUUUCCGGCGAUCACCAGAAUGUUCAGGUACACCUAAAUGCAGCUGAAACACAUCAAGUGCCACAUGAUGGAUAUCAAAGUUCUGGUGAUCGUCUGAUGACUGCUUGACUUAAAUCAAUUUGCAGACACCAAUGGUGAUGGGGCUGCACUAGAGAAUAUUUUUGCUGAAGUUUCUAUUUGUGAAACUAUGAGCCUAUUUUCUCGAACAGUAUUUAGUUUGGAGCUCUGAACUUGUGUGGGCUUUACUUAAAAUUCAGUCUAAUGCUACAUGUGGUUUCGAAGGUGCUGGAGUGAAGCUUUAGACGCAGGUGGUGCAUCAGGUGCUUACACUUUUUUCCGGAUUUAGGACAUGGAUCAUUCAUAUGUAUUGUAUAAAAAUCAUCCACUUUGCCCUUUUCUGAAGUAUUAUUUGUACCUGUCACGGAAAUAUCAAUAACAUCUGGAAAAGCAGACAAUCACUUUUCAUCAUUUUUCUUAUGCAGAAAUAACCUUUGGAUGUAUGGUGUAUACUGGUACCGAUCACUGUGGUUGAUAGAGAACAUACCAGCCAUUUGAGAUUUCCAAACAAGCAUGUAAUAAUGCUUAUAAUUUCACACCCUGUUACAUUUAGAGAUUUACAUAUUUUGAAGCAAA